UGGGGAAUAUUGCACAAUGGAGGGAACUCUGAUGCAGCGACGCCGCGUGAACGAAGAAGGCUUUCGAGUCGUAAAGUUCUUUUAUAUGGGAAGAUAAUGACGGUACCAUAAGAAAAAGCCCCGGCUAACUACGUGCCAGCAGCCGCGGUAAUACGUAGGGGGCUAGCGUUGUCCGGAAUCACGGGGCGUAAAGGGUUCGCAGGCGGAAAUGCAAGUCAGGUGUAAAAGGCAGUAGCUUAACUACUGUAAGCAUUUGAAACUGCAUAUCUUGAGAAGAGUAGAGGUAAGUGGAAUUUUUAGUGUAGCGGUGAAAUGCGUAGAUAUUAAAAAGAAUACCGGUGGCGAAGGCGACUUACUGGGCUCAUUCUGACGCUGAGGAACGAAAGCGUGGGUAGCAAACAGG
rnacentral:rRNA from 1 species